GACGAACGCUGGCGGCGUGCCUAAUACAUGCCAGUUGAGCGCUGAAGGUUGGUACUUGUACCAACUGGAUGAGCAGCGAACGGGUGAGUAACGCGUGGGGAAUCUGCCUUUGAGCGGGGGACAACAUUUGGAAACGAAUGCUAAUACCGCAUAAAAACUUUAAACACAAGUUUUAAGUUUGAAAGAUGCAAUUGCAUCACUCAAAGAUGAUCCUGCGUUGUAUUAGCUAGUUGGUGAGGUAAAGGCUCACCAAGGCGAUGAUACAUAGCCGACCUGAGAGGGUGAUCGGCCACAUUGGGACUGAGACACGGCCCAAACUCCUACGGGAGGCAGCAGUAGGGAAUCUUCGGCAAUGGACGAAAGUCUGACCGAGCAACGCCGCGGGAGUGAAGAAGGGUGUCGGAUCGUAAAACUCUGUUGGUAGAGAAGAACGUUGGUGAGAGUGUAAAGCUCAUCAAGUGACGGUAACUACCCAGAAAGGGACGGCUAACUACGUG
rnacentral:rRNA from 1 species